rnacentral:rRNA from 1 species
AUGGUAGGAUAGAGGCCUACCAUGGUGGUAACGGGUAACGGGGUGUUAGGGCACGACACCGGAGAGGGAGCCUGAGAAACGGCUACCACAUCCAAGGAAGGCAGCAGGCGCGCAAAUUACCCAAUCCCGACACGGGGAGGUAGUGACAAUAAAUAACAAUACAGGGUUCUUUGAAUCUUGUAAUUGGAAUGAGUACAAUUUAAAUCUCUUAACGAGGAACAAUUGGAGGGCAAGUCUGGUGCCAGCAGCCGCGGUAAUUCCAGCUCCAAUAGCGUAUAUUAAAGUUGCUGCAGUUAAAAAGCUCGUAGUUGAAUUUCGGGAUCAAUACGUCGGUCGUGCUUUCGGGUACGUACUGGCGUCAUUGGUUUCUCCUUUCUGACGAACCAUGAUGUCAUUAAUUUGGUGUUAUGGGGAGUUAGGACUGUUACUUUGAAAAAAUUAGAGUGUUUAAAGCAGGCAUUAGCUUGAAUACAUUAGCAUGGAAUAAUGAAAUAGGACGUUCGAUCCUAUUUUGUUGGUUUCUAGGAUCAACGUAAUGAUUAAUAGGGAUAGUUGGGGGCAUUAGUAUUCAAUUGUCAGAGGUGAAAUUCUUGGAUUUAUUGAAGACUAACUACUGCGAAAGCAUUUGCCAAGGAUGUUUUCAUUAAUCAAGAACGAAAGUUAGGGGAUCGAAGACGAUCAGAUACCGUCGUAGUCUUAACCAUAAACUAUGCCGACUAGGGAUCGGAUGAUGUUAAUUUUUUAAUGACUCAUUCGGCGCCUUACGGGAAACCAAAGUGUUUGGG